rnacentral:rRNA from 1 species
UACAGAGGUCCCAAGCGUUGUUCGGAUUCACUGGGCGUAAAGGGUGCGUAGGCGGUCGGGUAAGUCUGAUGUGAAAUCCCACAGCUUAACUGUGAAACUGCAUUGGAUACUAUCCGGCUCGAGGAAUGGAGGGGAGACUGGAAUACUUGGUGUAGCAGUGAAAUGCGUAGAUAUCAAGUGGAACACCAGUGGCGAAGGCGAGUCUCUGGACAUUUCCUGACGCUGAGGCACGAAAGCCAGGGGAGCAAACGGG